AACGUAGGUGGCGAGCGUUAUCCGGAUUUACUGGGCGUAAAGCGCGUGUAGGCGGCUUUGCAAGUCGGGUGUGAAAGCCCUCGGCUCAACCGAGGAAGUGCGCCCGAAACUGCAGAGCUUGAGUACCGGAGAGGAUGGCGGAAUUCCCCAAGUAGAGGUGAAAUUCGUAGAUAUGGGGAGGAACACCGGUGGCGAAGGCGGCCAUCUGGACGGAUACUGACGCUGAGACGCGAAAGCGUGGGGAGCAAACAGG
rnacentral:rRNA from 1 species